AACUUUGAUGUCAAAUGACAGCAUUGUCGUCCUUCUACAUAAAGUCACUGAUGACUUUGAAGGUCUGGAAAUGAAUGCCAAUGACACUGAGGCAAGGACAAACAGCAGUGUGGCAAACCUCAAGGUGAAGGUCCGUCUGCCGAGAGAGCUGAACCUUCAAAAGAAUGACACAGUUGUCUUCUCCACGAUUCAGAUACCAAAAGAGGUUGCUUCAAAGGAAUGGGAUACAUUAUAUGAUCACAGAUUUGUUGGCCUGAGUGUGAGUGGCAAGAACAUUUCAAACCUUCGAGACCGAGUCAACAUCAGCAUAUAUUCAUCUACAAACCCGAGUAAAACCCAAGAACCC